UACGUAGGGUGCAAGCGUUGUCCGGAAUUAUUGGGCGUAAAGGGCGCGUAGGCGGUCCAUCGCGUCGGGAGUGAAAAGCUGGGGCUUAACCCCAGUCCUGCUUCCGAUACGGGUGGACUAGAGGUAGGUAGGGGAGAUCGGAAUUCCUGGUGUAGCGGUGAAAUGCGCAGAUAUCAGGAGGAACACCGGUGGCGAAGGCGGAUCUCUGGGCCUUACCUGACGCUGAGGAGCGAAAGCAUGGGGAGCAAACAGG
rnacentral:rRNA from 1 species